GGCUGAAAACAAUAAAUUCUUUUGCCUGACCUCGGAUCAGACGUGAUUACCCGCUGAAUUUAAGCAUAUUAUUAAGCGGAGGAAAAGAAACUAACAAGGAUUCCCCUAGUAACGGCGAGUGAACGGGGAAGAGCCCAACACCGAAUCCCUUGGCGCAAGUCAACGGGAAAUGUGGUGUUAAGGUAGCCCUUCGUGUCAGUCUAGGCGUCUCAAGUCACCUGAUUGUGGCUCAAGCCAGAGAGGCUGCUGACUAAAUGUCU
rnacentral:ncRNA from 1 species